ensembl:ncRNA F44E5.14 ncRNA
GCCUCUGAUUGGUGUAUCUCGGGGCAGCUCACUGGCACACACACACACGCACACACACACACGCUCACGCUCAAUGUUCUACUUCUUCUACGUCG